rnacentral:pre_miRNA from 1 species
CAAAUUUGUAUGGAAUUGGAACGUUUGCUAACGCUAGGGGCACUGUUCCAGCUGCAUACAAAUUUCAGGUA